GGGGGGGGGGGGGGGGGGGGGGUGGGGGGGGGGGGCGGGCGGGGGCGCGGGGGCUGGCGCCGGGUGGCGGGUGGCGGACGGGUGGGUGAUACAUCGGGACGUGUCCUGGAGUGGGGGCGAGCCCGGCGAACGCCGGAUUAAUCCCGCAUACGAUCCACGGCUGAACGCGGGGGACCUUCGGGCCUCGCGCUCUGGGGUUGGCCGAUGGCUGAUUAGCUCGUUGGGGGGGUAAAGGCCUACCAAGGCGACGCUCAGUAGCUGGUCUGAGAGGACGACCAGCCACACGGGGACUGAGACACGGCCCAGACUCCUACGGGAGGCAGCAGUGGGGAAUUUUGGACAAUGGGCGAAAGCCUGAUCCAGCAAUGCCGCGUGUGUGAAGAAGGCCGUCGGGUUGUAAAGCACUUUGGUCCGGAAAGAAAUCCUUGACUCUAAUACAGUCGGGGGAUGACGGUACCGGAAGAAUAAGCACCGGCUAACUACGUG
rnacentral:rRNA from 1 species